GUAUCAUGGCUCAGGAUGAACGCUAGCUACAGGCUUAACACAUGCAAGUCGAGGGGCGAGCAUGGUCUUAGCUUGCUAAGGCUGAUGGCGACCGGCGCACGGGUGAGUAACACGUAUCCAACCUGCCGUCUACUCUUGGCUAGCCUUCUGAAAGGAAGAUUAAUCCAGGAUGGCAUCAUGAGUUCACAUGUCCGCAUGAUUAAAGGUAUUUUCCGGUAGACGAUGGGG
rnacentral:rRNA from 1 species